CAGUUUUUCCAUAGCAACCAAUCAGAUUUUGUCUUUCACUUUCUAUCCUGCGCUAGGAACCUAACAGCUGCGUUCUGAUUGGUCGUCUCGUUGCUACGGGCAACUCCUCCAGUGUUUCCCGCUUUUUGAAUUCACACACAGAGCGGCCCCGGCUCCAAUAACCGGCUACUAUACACAUCACAACUAAACGGAAGGACAGAAAACGCAUCAUGUGAAACAGAAGUAAAGGUGGAGGACAGAGACAGCGAUAGUGUGAGGAGGAAAGCAAAGGGUGGAGGAGACGGGGGAGGCCGCCUGACAGGAGACCGGGGGCAGCCGAGAAAGUGAAGAAGGAAGAUCCGGAGAGGAGCGGAGAGAUUGUGAAUCCUUCAUCUAUACGAUGCAUCAAGUCUGUAGGACCUGGGACUUCAAACAUCUCUUCCACUCUUUAUUUGGAGUCGCGGUGACUGUAUCCCGAGGAAGUGAACCUGAGCAGCAGUGCGAAGGCUGAACCUCUGCUCCACUAUUUGUCUAUAGGAGAACCAAAGAUAGGUUUUGCCAUGUUCUCAGCUCCUCUGGAUUUUUGAGGCUGGGGGCUGCUGUUUUUGCUGCCCCCGCAUACUUCCCCUGCGUCCACACCGCUGUCCUCGCUGAGGGUCUGCCCACUGUCUGAUAGCUGGGAAAGGGAGGCCGGGGGCGAUGUCGGCAAGACCGCUAAAAAGAAAAUGACAGAAGGGCAUGUCAUCCCCUCCAGCCAAUCUAUCAAUCACAGUCAAUCGCUCCACUAUCUCUCCAGGACCACAAGUCCACUGCCUUGGGGUCACCUUCGACGUUUCUCAACUAGAUUAUUGCGAGCUGUAAAGACCAGACUGAGCUGUAACCUCAGGGGGCCCAUACAUGUUGCACCCAAGUUGUGUUAACCGCAUCCAAUUUAAUCCUAAUUGGCGGGCUUCACCCGUACUAGCAACCUGAAACUGUGGAAGUUAGAUCUUCCCUUUUGUUGCUGCUGCUUUGGACUAAAAGGAAGAGAAUUUACGUCCCCAGAAACAGGAAGAGAAUUGCAGCGGAGGACAGGACAGCAAUACCGGCGGCACCAGGGGAGCAGCGGGAGCAUGAAAACAUAGAGGGGCCUGCAGCGAUCGGAUGAAGAGACCCAGCACAGAAGACUCAUGGAGGAAGAUGAAUCAUGCAGAGUGAAGACACACCCCCUCCACAAAAUGACAAACCAAGCAGAAUCCCUCCACUACAACAACAUUCUCCCAUACCGUACCUUGGCUUGGGUGUUGAAGAGCUCAAACAUGGCCAUGAUAAAGGCCUGUACCGGGAUGUGGCGCUCCUUGUACUGCUGGAGGUAGUAAGACAUAGUGCAUCGCUCGGGUUCGGUCAGCAGCAGCCGUGCUUUCUCGUCUAGAAGAACCAAGCAGCUGUAGGUGACUCCUCUUCUCCUUUUCUGGGACCCCCACGGACGGAUUAUUAUUAUGGGAUAGCCCUCCGGGAGGGGAGACACUUCGACCUUGUGGAUCGACCCAGGUGUAGAUAUGACUGGAGACAUGGCCUCCAGGGACCUGGCCCGAAGACAGCACAGAGAGGACCAGCUUCUGAGAGCCCCGCAGAGCCUGCAAAAAGUACCUCUCAUGAUCUUAAGAACAAAGAGAGAUGGAUCCAGCUCGAUGCAGAUGAAAUGAUUUUAAUCCAUAAGACAAGGAGGAUACAAGUAACGCGUUUCAAGCGCUGUAUGCGCUUUUAGGCAUAAGU